AACAUCGCGCACCUGCGGGAACCUGCGGAAGGAUCAUUAUCGAGUUAGGGUUCCUCUCACGGGCCCGAUCUCCCAACCCUGUGUCUACCACACCUUGUCGUUGCUUCGGCGGACCGGUCCUUCGACCGCCGGGGGUGCUUUGGCCCCCUGGAGCGCGUCCGCCGAUGGCCCAACCACACAAACUCUUGGUACCAAACCCUGUCGUCUGAAGCACUUGAUAUAUAAUCAACACAAAACUUU
rnacentral:misc_RNA from 1 species